rnacentral:hammerhead_ribozyme from 1 species
GUCCAGCUGUGAAGUCCCAAAUAGAACGAAACGUGCGUCCUGGGU